AGCAGUCGCCGCGGUAAUACGGAGGGGGCUAGCGUUGUUCGGAAUUACUGGGCGUAAAGCGCACGUAGGCGGCUUGGUAAGUUAGAGGUGAAAGCCUGGAGCUCAACUCCAGAAUUGCCUUUGAGACUGCCGAGCUAGCAGGUGAGAGAGGUAAGUGGAAUUCCGAGUGUAGAGGUGAAAUUCGUAGAUAUUCGGAAGAACACCAGUGGCGAAGGCGGCUUACUGGCUCAUACCGGGCGCUGAGGUGCGAAAGCGUGGGGAGCAAACAGGAUUAGAUACCCCCGUAGUCCCUGUCUCUUAUAA
rnacentral:rRNA from 1 species